CCUACGGGAGGCAGCAGUGAGGAAUAUUGGUCAAUGGACGGAAGUCUGAACCAGCCAUGCCGCGUGCAGGAAGACGGCUCUAUGAGUUGUAAACUGCUUUUGUACAAGGGUAAACCUGAAUACGUGUAUUCAGCUGAAAGUACUUUACGAAUAAGGAUCGGCUAAAUCCGUGCCAGCAGCCGCGGUAAUACGGAGGAACCAAGCGUUAUCCGGAUUUAUUGGGUUUAAAGGGUGAGUAGGCGGAUUGAUAAGUUAGUGGUGAAAUGUCCGGGUGUAACUCGGGAACUGCCUUUAAUACUGUUGAUCUAGAGAGUAGAUGCGGUAAGCGGAAUGUAUGGUGUAGCGGUGAAAUGCUUAGAGAUCAUACAGAACA
rnacentral:rRNA from 1 species